rnacentral:rRNA from 1 species
AUGGAUAAUCUCUCCUUUGUUGAUCUCUCUAUUCUCUCUUGGAAUGUUCAAGGGCUGGGGGACCCGGAUAAGUGCGAUAUCGUGCGUAACCUUAUAGCUUCCACUGAUCCCGUCAUCGCUUGCGUUCAGGAGACCAAACUGGCCACCCUCCCCGCGUGCAAAGCCCGCUCGUUCCUCCCUGGGCGCCUUGCUUCGUUUGUCUCCAAGGAUGCCGAUGGGAGUCGGGGUGGCAUCACCACCGCUUGGGAUGCCCGCCUGUUCUCCUUAGUCUCCUCCUUCGCUUCGGCUUUCACGCUGUCCACGUCCUUCUCCUCCACUACCACCCCACUCUCUUUCACCGUUACGAACGUCUACGCGCCCUCGGAUCAUGCUCUCACUAUGGAAUUUGUUGAGGACCUCUCCGCGGUCUCCUCGGAUAUUCCCGGGCCUUGGAUUGCUAUUGGGGAUUUCAAUCUGAUUAGGGCUCCCCGUGAGAAGAAUAACAAUAACUUUGAUGCGUCGAGAGCCGCUGUCUUCAACUCUCUCAUCAACUCCCUGGCCUUGCAUGAGCUGGCCCUGACGGAUCGCCGUUUCACAUGGACGAACCGAAGGGAUCCGCCGACUCUUGCCCGCCUAGACAGGGCCUUCUUUGACAAUGAUUGGGGGGAGUCUUUCCCGGACUCGGCUCUUUCCUCACGCCCUCGGCCUACCUCUGAUCACGUCCCCCUGGUUGUCACUGCGUCCACCCGAAUUCCCAAACCGGCUCGCUUCUUCUUCGAGAACUCCUGGCUGCUCAACCCUCGCUUCCUCCCCACUACCAUCCCUUCUUGGACGGGCGCGGCGCCCGGGCGCUGCGCGGUGGGGCGGCUCGCUGCACGUAAGAAGAAGUUUCGGUCUGCGGCCAAGGUUUGGAAACGGCAACACAAAUACAUCCCUACCUAUGAUAAUGAUUGCAAAUUUGUGGUUGACCUCCUGGAUUUCUUGGAAGAGUCCAGAUGUCUGUCUACAGAUGAAGCGCUGCUGCGGAGUGAUGCUCGUAGCUGCCUUGCCGCGUCCAUCAAGAGGCAGAGUGCGCACUGGAAGCAGCGGGGGAAGUGUCGUGCGGUUCGAGAAGGCGAUGAGAAUACCAAGUUCUUCCACGCCAGUGCAUCCCAGCGCCGUCGCGGGAACUGGAUCCGCGCGCUUGAUGUUGAUGGGCUGGAGGUGGUCGAUCACCUUGGCAAGGCGGCUGCGCUGCGGGGCUUCUUUGCCAACCUCCUCGGGCGUUGCUGCCUCCCCGACUGGCGCUUCGACCUUGAGGCGCUGUACUAG